GGCAACCAAGUGACGUCAACAACGUCGAGGAAACGUCAGUAUUUGGUGGAAUAUAUACACGUAGUUGAACAUUACGUCAUAUCGACGUCUUUUGUAGGUGAUUUUAAAUACGUAAGAUUAAUGACGUUAAAAUACGUUUAAAAGACGUUUUCAUUUCAGCCAGCCUAAGUCUGACGUCACGAAAUUGGGAGGAGCUUGGAGCUUAAAAGUUACAAAACUAGGGUUAUGUUUGUAUCAUCGUUGUCGUUUCAUUUCAUUGUUUGUUUGUCCUAGUAUUUUGCCUUUUUUGGAUUCAUUUGGAUUUUGUUGGCUGUUUUGUGUGUAUUUUUUAAAACUUCUGUUUGUCAUUUGUAAAUUUUAUAAAUUUACCACAAUGCAAAGUGAUUAUUUAAGGAAAUUAUUAAUGGAAACUCCGCAGAUGUUUUAGAAAGAUAUUCAUUGAAGCUGAAAAUAAUUGGAGAUUUAGAUCCAUAUACAAUUCAGUCAUCAGAAUUGGAUUUUACAGUGCAUUCCUUCAAUUACUGUUAUAAUGCUAUUAUAGAUAGACUGCUAGAGUCUCACAGUUACUGCUUUAAGCAGCAGAUGAAAGCAUACAAAAGCCUUCAGGCACAUAAAAGCCUUCACAACUGGAUUUGUUUUGAAACAUUGAUGUUUUGAUGAUUUCUAUAUUAUUGUUGGAAAGGUGAAAAAUUCCCAAAAAGCUAAUGCUAAACCGCUAGAUGCUUCGGUGAAUAGCCAGUUCCAAUGGCAUAGCAAAUGCACAUUGUAUGUGUAUGGCCAGUAAUAGUGAAAUUUGCAGCCAUAUUGCAGCAAUCUUAUUUGCAGCUGAGUAUGCCCACAGCAAGACAGAAGAAGAAGAACCCAAUGCAUGUACAGAUGUUACAGCUAUGUACAUUCUCUGGUGAAAAACUAAUGAGUUUUCAAGCUGUUCGGUCAGAGUGCUUGUUGCGCUCUCUAAACGAACUGAUAUAUAAGACGGCUUUGGCUUCAUGUUGCAGUGAUAUGAAAAUGGUUAGUCAUUUUUAAUUAUAAUGUACUUCUUCAUCAUGAGUAUUUAUGUAUAGGGCUUUUCAUUCACAGUCAUUUGUUUCGAGCUUCUGUCAUGUGUCACAUAAUAUUAAUAUUAUAUCUACGUCAUAUGUUAUUGGUAUAUAUCAAUGAUACACACCAAAGACAUAUGGCAUAGAUAUAUUAAUAUUAUGUGACACAUGACAGAUGCUCGAAACAAAUGACAGUCGAUAAAAAGCCCUAUUAGUCUUUUAAGUGUGUAUUAUCAGAUAUCACAUGUAAAUUGUUUUUAUCAUGUUAAUUUGGUCAUUACAGUCCCUUAAUCAAAAAAUAUAUUUUUCAGGUGUCUGUGGAUCUUUUUGUAUGCAAAAAUUUGUAAUAAUUAUUUGAAAUCAUUUUGAGGAUUAUUAGAGUAUGGAAAUAUAUGUGAGAACACAUACUAUUAUAGUUUUGUCCUAUUUUUUAUCAUUCAAUAGUCUUCUUAAAAUUUAUAAAUAUAAAGCAGAUAGUUUUCAUUGAAAUUCAAUAUAUUGGGUCUUAUUUGUAUGUAUUCAUUUUUGACUAAAGGUACGAUUCCGAUAACGACUGCAGACAGCAACUGCAAACAUCAGUUGCAGUUCUCGGCGUUAUGGAUGUUACUACUUUGCACUAUUUAUCUGUAUGAGACUUAUUCCGACAUCUGACUGCAACUGCUGUCUGGCAGAACGUCAGUUGCUAAUAAUUAUGCAAAUUAUUAGUGCAAAAUAAUGACGUCUGUCAUGGUGACAACUGUAACUGCCAUCUGCAGUCGUUGUCGGAAUCAUACCUUUAAAGUGUGUGGUAUAAUUAUAAUAAUUAUAUAUAUAUAUUAUAUAACUUAAAUGGUUUAAACCUAAGUUUGUUAUUACAUUGUGACUUAAAUGUUUAAUUUGUUAAUAAAUGAUUUAUUAGUUUA